UGGGGAAUAUUGGACAAUGGGGGAAACCCUGAUCCAGCAAUGCCGCGUGAGUGAAGAAGGCCUUAGGGUUGUAAAACUCUUUCACCCGUGAAGAUGAUGACGGUAGCGGGAGAAGAAGCUCCGGCUAACUCCGUGCCAGCAGCCGCGGUAAUACGGAGGGGGCAAGCGUUGCUCGGAAUUACUGGGCGUAAAGCGCGCGUAGGCGGUGCAUGUAGUCAGGCGUGAAAGCCCCGGGCUUAACCCGGGAACUGCGUUUGAUACUGAUGUGCUAGAAUCCGAGAGAGGGCAGUGGAAUUCCCAGUGUAGAGGUGAAAUUCGUAGAUAUUGGGAAGAACACCAGAGGCGAAGGCGGCUGCCUGGCUCGGUAUUGACGCUGAGGUGCGAAAGCGUGGGGAGCAAACAGG
rnacentral:rRNA from 1 species